AAUUCGUGCAUCAUCAGUCAACAACACUGAAUUCCGACGAACUUUUACCAACACUAAAAAAUAUUAUUCUUCGGGAGAAAAAUAUCUGUCCCAGCCCUUCCAAAAUUGUUUUUAUGCACAUGGGGAUGUGGUUUGUGGAUCACAAGUUGAGAAUCAACAUUAUUUUAUUCAAACAACAAUCCAGGUACAUGCAUUAGGAUAUAAAAAAAUAAAAUAUACAAAUACUUCAUUGUCCUUUUAUCUAGCCAUCUGCAAACCAUGCAUGAUAACAAAUUAAUAUUAGUGAUAUCAAAUAUUAUAGGACACUCGUAAAUUGUGGUAU